rnacentral:lncRNA from 1 species
CUCAAAAGUUACAUUCCGAAUAUAGAGAACCUCAAUCUCUUUGUCCGUGGUGUUAACACCGGCGGCCUUGAGAACCUUGAGGUAGGGCAGCCCGUCGGGCCCGUAUUUACUGCCGUUCUUUUCCACGUGCUUGAUCCACUGGAUGUGGGGCUGGGCAUCACUGUAAACCUUGCAGACAAACUCUACGUCUCCUCCGACCACUGUGGAGGCAUUUG